UGCCCGAUCGUCUAAUGGCAGGACACCUGGUUUUGGUCCAGCUUGUGGAGGUUCGAAUCCUUCUCGGGCAA
rnacentral:tRNA from 1 species